GGAUGUGUGGGUGAUCUGGCUGUGACAUCUGUCACCCCAUUGAUGGCCAGGGCUGAUUCAGCUGAUCUGGCUGGUUAAGCGGGUGUCCACUUUCUCCCUUACCACUCUAUGUGCAUCCCUCCCGAAGCUGUGUGCUCAAAGAGGACGACCAUCCCUCAUAAAGGAGGAUCAUUCUUCGGUCAAGAUUAUAGGAAUAGCUGCGCUCCCCUGCUAGAACCUCCAAACAAGCUCUCAAGACACUCACUUCACUUUUUGUCACACACACAGACUGAAAGUGAAGGGAUAGAAAAAAAUGUUCCAUAUAAAUAGAAACUAAAAGCAAAGCUUGGAUAGAGUUGCUUCUAU
rnacentral:snRNA from 1 species